rnacentral:rRNA from 2 species
UUAUCGGAGAGUUUGAUCCUGGCUCAGGACGAACGCUGGCGGCGUGCCUAAUACAUGCAAGUCGAGCGGACAGAUGGGAGCUUGCUCCCUGAUGUUAGCGGCGGACGGGUGAGUAAC